CGUAGUCACUACGAUGACCUAUAUGGCACAAUACUGCACAAGAGUCAGAACCAAAUGAAAAGGUUUGUACGACAAUACUGGGUAUAAUAUAAUUAUGCUCAAUAUUACUCUCAUAUAAUAGUUGGGCGAUAAAUCGCUAGUCACCUACGAGUCGGAACCAUAGUAAAGUUCUGUACGACAAGACUGUGCACCCAAAAUUGGAUCCAAUAUGAGCAUAUGGUGCAGGAGUGACAUUAUAAACAGGCAUGUGCCAUAUCUUUGGCUAAAUUGCAAUCACCCUAGGUACAGUUUUAAGAGCUCAACGUUAUUCAAUCACAUAUGACAUCAUCGAUAAUUCACAUAACCAAGUAUAACUAACCUGAACUUACUUGAGCGUCCACUGCACCACAAUU
rnacentral:lncRNA from 1 species